rnacentral:rRNA from 1 species
AGCGAACGCUGGCGGCAGGCUUAACACAUGCAAGUCGAACGGGCACUUCGGUGUCAGUGGCAGACGGGUGAGUAACACGUGGGAACGUACCUUUUGGUUCGGAACAACUGAGGGAAACUUCAGCUAAUACCGGAUAAGCCCUUACGGGGAAAGAUUUAUCGCCGAAAGAUCGGCCCGCGUCUGAUUAGCUAGUUGGUAGGGUAAUGGCCUACCAAGGCGACGAUCAGUAGCUGGUCUGAGAGGAUGAUCAGCCACAUUGGGACUGAGACACGGCCCAAACUCCUACGGGAGGCAGCGGUGGGGAAUAUUGGACAAUGGGGGCAACCCUGAUCCAGCCAUGCCGCGUGAGUGAUGAAGGCCCUAGGGUUGUAAAGCUCUUUUGUGCGGGAAGAUAAUGACGGUACCGCAAGAAUGAGCCCCGGCUAACUUCGUGCCAGCAGCCGCCGUAA